CAUACCUGUAAACAUUCCAGAUAACGCGUUAUUUAUUUAGAUAUUUAUUGGCAACCAUUUUAAUCGUGAAAUAUCAAGAAAAGCAUGUAUGUACCACGCACCAACAAUUCGGACAAGCUACAUCAUGUAUGUACAUGGAAGGGGUCUAUGCUAAUAUGUUUUAUAUUAUAAAAUAUAAAUUUCUUUAACUAGGCCUUUUUAUUAAAGUACUUUGAUCUGUUAAUAUUAUCAAGAAGAACAUAUACUUGAAACCCGAUAAAUAUUACGUACUACGUGAAAACUCAUAAAAGAAAUAAACCAAGGAGGAAGGGAUAGUAAGCCUUCCAAGUCUAAAGUGCACUGAUGUGAUCUUUGUUCAGGUGUACACAGUAGGCGAUAAAAAAGAUAAUAAAAAAUAACAAUUUCAUAAAAUAACAUUUUUCUUUAAUAUAAGAAUGUUACAAGUAUAGGUAAUGUUUGUGUACUGUAUAACGAUAGCAAGUGUCGAAGAAAAGUUGAUAAAGUGAACUAUGAAUAUAGAACGAAAUAAAAGUAGUCUGAGGUUUAAUAUUCAAUCUACAAUUCGUCAAGGAUAUAAGUUUUAUAAACGUUACAGCUUUUAUAAUAUGAUAAUGCAAAAUAUAGUACGGUAAUUCCGUCAACAACGCAAAAUGAACUCAUUAGGAUCGUUUAGAAUUUCAAAGAGGAAGAGAUAAGAGAUAAUACUUCAUCCCUGGAAACUUUUUUCUUUUCUCCUCGAACUGACGCGAGCAAAAAUGAAAUUGAAAAAAGAUAGAUAUAUGCUGAUACUGACUGAUAUUAAUUGCAAAAUGAAAUAAAAUUUUGAUCCGAUUCUUGUCUCGCUGUACUUAGGUCGCUAUAGGUAAAAAAUUUUUGCGGAUACUUCUCAUCGAAUAUUUCAAGUUCAGCAAAUGAAUCUACAAGGCGAUAUACAUAUAGGCGAACCAAAGAAAAAGUGAAAAUAUCACGAAAUCAAGUUCAAUUUCGAACUAACGUAAAUUUCCUACGAUAACUGAAAUUUCCGAUAUUCACGCUUCAGGAUUUGACAUAAUCUAUUUCAUAGUGCCGGCAACUGCGCAGCAGUUUCGUGGGUAAAUUACUUUUUUCAACGGAUUCAGCGGAUAAGUAUAUUCAUUUCGAAGAAUGGCUACGGUAUAACUUUUUUAUUUUGCUCGAUUGCAAUUUCGAGUCGGUAGACUUAAAGACACUGCGUUUUGUUUUCACCUUAUAAAGAACGGAGAUAUUGAAUUUCGGCGAAAUUAAAGAAAACAAACAGCUAAAGUUGUUUCUGGCACACCCUGUGUACAGAAAAGCUCGAGAGUAGCAGAAACGGACUUACUAGGUGAGGUAGGGCUACUGAAUUGGAGUGGGGAGUCGAGCGUCUUGAUAGGCCGAUUGGGAGAAGAAUAUUACGCGCAAGCGCAAAGACUUCAACGGUUUCGGAGUAUCUCGGGGAGUUGUUCGUCUAAUCUCGCGUGAGUCGCACGUAUUUCCUUGUGCGUUCUUUCGAAGGAAGCUUUUGUUUUUUUUUCUUGGACCAUAAACGCAGCUUCUAAUACUUAUAUCAACGGAAAAUGCAUAUCACAAUAAUCCGUUGUUUGUUCUUCACGCUCACAGGCGCCAGUAAUAACGCGAGAGAGAAAAUGCGCGAGAAUCGAACGACACAUCAUCGACGCUAAAUAUCAAACGUAACCAUUAUGGGUGUAAUUCUAUCGACGGACGAAGUGGACAAAAAGAAACAAAACGAAUCGAGUGAAAAGCGACAGACAGAUCAAUUCGCAAUAUCAUUAUCGGGCGUUAUUCUGCAUGACAUUUUACAAAAGAGAAGCAAUCGUGGUCUGUGCAUCGUGCCUCUGAGACUUCCAUCCCACCCAGUUCUUGUUCGACCUCCCCUCUUCUUUUCCUCUCCAACACAUUCUCAUGCGAGAAACGGAUGCGCGCGCAUGUACACGAAUACAAUCGCGCUGAAGUAGCACUGUGAAGUCUCUUUGGUGCGCACACAUACCACGGCAAACGUCCUUUUCUUUGACACACAUGAGUGAAAGCGGGUGAGAGGGGAGUGACGAGAGAAGAAGAAAUAAGAUAGAAGGCCAGAGGAGAAGGAGGAAGAGGAGGAGAAAGGGGGGAAGGGUGGAGAAGCAAGUGCCACGGUGGCUGGCUGGCUAGCGAGCCGCAAACCGUAUCCAUAUUCUCCUCUAGAAUCCCCGCUCGCGUUGUGCUUGUCGAGGAAUUUUACUUCGGCAGACUCGCUCCCAGACUCGAUUCCUUCGUUUCUUCUUUCCGUAGCCGCCAAAGUACAGCGAGAGUUCUAUGUGAAAACAUUAGCAUGACUUUCCAUAAAUUUCAAGUCUCUAGGUCAGAAUCAUAUUUUCUAUCCAUAUCGAUGUGUGGUACACGACUCUGUAAAACACCGAUAAAUCCGCUCGUAUCUGACUCGUUUAACAAUAUUCGAACAAGUCUACGAAUGGAAUAUAGACGUUCACCGUGCCCAGGGAGAAAAAUAGUGAUAAUUCCGUAGAAUGCCUGGAGUGUGUGACGUUCAUCGGUUUACAAAGUUCCCAAUCUUUCAGUGAUCCGCUUCUAGGAUUUCAUUAUAUCGCUAUUGGUUAUCCAAUAAGAACGAUGAUACACAAUUUUUGGGGGGGCCUGAAACAACAGUGAAUUUCUCGGCAUCGACGAUUUCCUCGGUCGAGGGAAAUAUCGUUAUUUGUGUUACGUUGCAUCCCAUGUACGAUCGGAAAAAAGUUCUCUUCUGAGAAACCGAAUCUCAAGACUCCCUCAUGGCAUCUACUCGGAUGAUCGUUUGUCCUUCUAUGUUUGAAAUGAGAGAUGUACAGGAAAUCAAUACAUCGGCCCACGGUUAAGAGAUCCUAGGUGUGUGUGUGUGUGUGUGCACGCAUGGGCAAGAGAAAGAGAGAAAAGAAAAAGGUAAAAUUCCGAUUCUACGAAUCGAUUAAUCUUGAAAAUCCUAUAGUAAAAUUUAUGGAUCAAAUAUUCAUCACUAAAAACAAGGUGUGAACGUUCCAUGUUCCGAUUGUUAACAAAUAAUAUACUUAUUUUAAGUAUAACACCUAUUUCAUUGAUAAACAAUAAGUGUUUUCAUGCGUAUCCAGCAAGUUAACAAAGAACAUGCGUUGUAGAAGAAAAGCAGGUCUACGGGUUGGAAUUCUUUAUAUUUCGCCAGAUCUCGGAAUUCCAAGCGCCGUGAGUGUGUCGAUCUAACAAUACACGGAGGUUCUACGAUUCCGUGAAGAAUGGCAAGAAUAAAAAGGAAUACAAUGCAGAACGGCCACUACAGGAUAACAACAAAGAAAAGAAGGCUUUUGUUCCUCAACUUUUUCCCGUUCCCCUCUUACCCCACCGUGAUUCUGCCUUGGGUCUAACACCGAAUCGAAUAAAAAAUAUUGCCUACUACUACGAGCAAGUUAGUACAGUCAGAAAUAUUUCUAAGGCAUUGAAAUCUCCUAAUCGUUACAAAAUAAAUGAAAAUUGUUCAAAUUAUUGCUUAGCUAUUUCGAAUUUAUUCUAUCGCAAUUCUAAUUCUAAUAACGCUAGUUCCAUAUCAAAUGUACGAAUAGUUACAAUGCCAGAAUAAAUGAAACAACGUGGUUGAACAUUGUGCAUAA